UGCUGAAAUAGCACAAUAAAUAAUUAUAAGGGCAGGUGGUGUAGUGGUAUCACGCUUGAUUUGCAUUCAAGA